CAACGUUCUGAGCUUUUGCUACUGGAACUCUCGAGAUUCACUAUCAACAUGCAGAUCCACUGGUUCUCUGUUCACCUAGGACACUGACGAAAGCAUCAAAGAGAUGGAACGUGAGCAGCGGCUCCUUCAGCAAGCUUAGUCAAAUGAUGGUCUGAUGUAUCUCAACAAGCAAGACCCAUUGCCAGAAUUGGUGCUUAGCAGGGGGCUUCUUUGGAUAUGGCUUCAGGGGUGAGGAAGGAGGAAAUCUAAAUCCAAGAAGAAAUAUUCUAUUAAUGCAGACAGUAGGAGAUAGGGGUUUUUCAGCACUCAGUGCUGGGCCUCACACACCAGGCAGGCACCCCACCACCGAGCUAUGCCGCAGGCACCCGUGAGCACUUUUAUAAGUACUUCUCCAAAGGACUAAUUCUCCUUCCCUUGAAUAUCCAACACGUCACACAGAGAUUGAAAUACCAACCAAGAAAUCCAUCUUCAGGGAGCUAGAAACCUGUCUGGAAUCCUUUUCUGCUCUCUCCAUACUGCUCCUCUUCCUGGACCCCCUGCUUAUCAGAGCCGUUCCACCUUGAACAUAAAAACUCUCUCCUGAAAAUGGAUUGCACUGCACCAAUAAAGAACUAAUCCUAAAUACA